rnacentral:misc_RNA from 1 species
GGGCCCGAUCCGAUACCUAAGACUCCUUU